UAAUUGAUUUAGUGGUGUCUUAAUUAGAUAAUUGCCCUGGUUAUUUAAAUUGUUCCUUUGUUUGCGAUGGGGAGAGGAAGUAGCAUUAAUAAGGCCUUACAGGGCAUGCGACAUUAAAGGAACACCGAUAUAGAACUGGAGUGCAUGAGAAUGGGUUAUGUAUGGAAUGUAGUGGAAAGGAAACAGUGGAGCAUCUGAGGGAUUGCAAUAUUUCCAAUAUUUUUUUUGAAAUGGUACAGGUGAUAGAAAAAUAGAAAAAGGUAUUAUUGGGUGUAUUGCAAAAUAUAUUAGGAAGACUCAAGAAUAUUUAACAUACAGAGAUUUUAAAAGGUUAAGUGUUGACAGCAGUUUUAAUAGCCAAAUCUGAACAGUAGGUGGUGACAAUAAGUUUUGCUAGAAACUUGGUGACCAUUAACAGAACAGAAGAAGAAACAGGAGAGAAGAAGGGACGGUAGGUGUGGGACUUGGUAUUCGGUGUGCCGCUAUAGAGGGGAGUGCUCGGAAGACGCAUUUUGUCGGUGUCCUGCGGUGUUAAAGCCAGUUAUUUCAGGGGUUUUUGAGUCCAGUAUCACUACAUUUAAUUACACUCAAUCCAGAGAGUACUGUCUGUCGCAGAAUGCAGCUUUAGCAACCUUAGAGCAGGUGACCAGUGCUCAGAACACCAGCUUCCAGACCUGCAGGUAUGGAUGGGUGGAAGAGCAGUGAAUUCUUCUUGCCCGUACCACAGCGAUCAAGACUUGUGGCAACAGUAAUAUAGGCAUCAUUAAAAAAGGGCCCUGUGGAUACUACACUGCACCCAGUGCCUACUGCUACAAAA